rnacentral:tRNA from 1 species
GAGAGUAUAGCUCAGUGGUAGAGGGCAUGCUUAGUUAGCAUGCACAAGGUCCUAGGUUCAAACCCCAGUACCUCCU